rnacentral:rRNA from 1 species
GUCUACAGCCAUACCACCCUCAAUGCGCCCGAUCUCGUCUAUCUCGGAAGGAAAGCAGGGUCAGGCCUGGUUAGUACUUAAAUGGGAGACCGCCUGGGAAUAUCUGGUGCCGUAGGCU